ACGAACGCUGGCGGCGUGCUUAACACAUGCAAGUCGAACGGAAAGGCCCUGCUUUUGUGGGGUGCUCGAGUGGCGAACGGGUGAGUAACACGUGAGUAACCUGCCCUUGACUUUGGGAUAACUUCAGGAAACUGGGGCUAAUACCGGAUAGGAGCUCCUGCUGCAUGGUGGGGGUUGGAAAGUUUCGGCGGUUGGGGAUGGACUCGCGGCUUAUCAGCUUGUUGGUGGGGUAGUGGCUUACCAAGGCUUUGACGGGUAGCCGGCCUGAGAGGGUGACCGGCCACAUGGGGACUGAGAUACGGCCCAGACUCCUACGGGAGGCAGCAGUGGGGAAUAUUGCACAAGGGGCGGAAGCCUGAUGCAGCAACGCCGCGUGCGGGAUGACGGCCUUCGGGUUGUAAACCGCUUUCGCCUGUGACGAAGCGUGAGUGACGGGAAUGGGUAAAGAAGCACCGGCUAACUACG
rnacentral:rRNA from 1 species